GAUGAACGCUGGCGGCGUGCUUACCUUCUGAAGGUCGAACGAACCUUCGGGUUAGUGGCGGACGGGUGAGUAACGCGUGAGAAUCUGCCCUCAGGAGGGGCCUCACGGCUGGAAACGGCCGCUAAUACCCCAUAUGCCGCGAGGUGAAAUGAAUUUCGCCUGAGGAUGAGCUCGCGUCUGAUUAGCUAGUUGGUGGGGUAAAGGCCUACCAAGGCAUCGAUCAGUAGCUGGUCUGAGAGGAUGAUCAGCCACACUGGGACUGAGACACGGCCCAAACUCCUACGGGAGGCAGCAGUGGGGAAUUUUCCGCAAUGGGCGAAAGCCUGACGGAGCACCUCUUCGUGAGGGAUGAAGGCCUCUGGGCUGUAAACCUCUUUUAUCAAGGAAGAAGAUCUGACGGUACUUGAUGAAUAAGCCACGGCUAAUUCCGUG
rnacentral:rRNA from 1 species